rnacentral:sRNA from 1 species
CCCCCCCCCCAAUCAAUCAAAUGUAUAUACAUGUGUAUUUAAAAUACAAUGUUUAAAUAUAUUUAAAUUCAAAUGUCCUCUUGCAUUAAAUAGUGAAACAAAAAUUAAGGAUAUUGUAUUGCACAAACUGCAAUUGUAGACAGGUCCAAUAAUCAUACAUGCAUUGGUCUAUAGAUUGCAAGUGAGAAAGAUAAAGAUUGUAGAUUAUUAUGCUUGUGUGAUUGAUUUAUUGUUAUUAGGUUUUGUGUAUAUCAAGAUGAAGUUAUUUAUGGGAAACUGACAAUAAUAUGAUAAACAACUUUUAUAUUUAAUACCAGAUUUGUUGCAUAGAUUUGCAAUUUUAUUACAUGUACUAUGAUCUGAAAUUUCAUAAAUGUACAUAGUGCUUGUAUAUUUUGAGAAUUUACCAUUAACAUUGUUAUGCAAUAAAUUGCUUUGAUGAU